CUAGUAGCUCUCUUGGUCUCUCACUCCCCUUCACGAAAGACAAAUCCUGAGAAGGGCUUCACCACAUUCGAGUCAAGGGUUUCUCUGAUUCAAGACGAAAUUACUACAGUUGAAAUUUCUUGUUUCAAUCCGCGAAGAACAACGAAGGAGCUUUACGGAUCUAAAUAGAUUUAUUGAUGAGAAGAGUGAAAGCAGAGGAACUGCUGAAUUGUUUGGUGCUCUAAGGGGUCGUCUAGGUGACAGCAACAAAAAUUUAGUCAUGGAAACAUUGACAUGCAUUGGCAAUGUUGCAUGUGCAAUGGGUCCAGCUGUUGAGAAAGCAAGCAAGGUUGAUUUCUAAUUCAUGAUCGCUAAUUUUAUGUAGUGUACUCUUUA